CUACGGGGCGCUGCAGUCGCGGAACUUUUACAAUGCACGCAAGUGUGAUAAAGCGAACCAAAGUGUUUUUCGUUUAGAAAAACUUUUUCUUAGUGUAAAAAUCUAGGAGAAUAAGGACUGGGAAAGACUGGUGCCAGCCGCCGCGGUAAUACCAGCAGUUCAAGUUGCAUCCCUUUUUAUUGGGUCUAAAACAUCCGUAGCUUGCCGUUUAAGUCUCUUGUGAAAUCCUACGUCUCAAGCGUGGGGCUUGCAGGGGAUACUGAGCGGCUAGAGAUCGGUAGACGUAAGGAGUACGCCGGGGGUAAUGGUCAAAUAUGUUAAUCCUCGGUGGACUAACAAUGAGCGAAGGCACCUUACGAGGACGAAUCUGACAGUCAGGGAUGAAGGCCAGGGGCGCAAAACGGAUUAGAUACCCCGGUAGUC
rnacentral:rRNA from 1 species